rnacentral:rRNA from 1 species
CAGUCGCCACGGUAAUACGUAGGUGGCAAGCGUUGUCCGGAAUUAUUGGGCGUAAAGGGCUCGCAGGCGGUUUCUUAAGUCUGAUGUGAAAGCCCCCGGCUCAACCGGGGAGGGUCAUUGGAAACUGGGAAACUUGAGUGCGGAAGAGGAGAGUGGAAUUCCACGUGUAGCGGUGAAAUGCGUAGAGAUGUGGAGGAACACCAGUGGCGAAGGCGACUCUCUGGUCUGUAACUGACGCUGAGGAGCGAAAGCGUGGGGAGCGAACAGGAUUAGAGACCCCAGUAGUCCCUGUCUCUUAUAC